UACAGAGGUCUCAAGCGUUGUUCGGAUUCAUUGGGCGUAAAGGGUGCGUAGGUGGCGCGGUAAGUCGGGUGUGAAAUUUCGGAGCUUAACUCCGAAACUGCAUUCGAUACUGCCGUGCUUGAGGACUGGAGAGGAGACUGGAAUUUACGGUGUAGCAGUGAAAUGCGUAGAGAUCGUAAGGAAGACCAGUGGCGAAGGCGGGUCUCUGGACAGUUCCUGGCACUGAGGCACGAAGGCCAGGGGAGCAAACGGG
rnacentral:rRNA from 1 species